UACAGAGACUGCAAGCGUUAUUCGGAUUCACUGGGCGUAAAGGGUGCGCAGGCGGCCAAGUGUGUCAGGUGUGAAAUCCCGAGGCUUAACCUCGGAACUGCGCCUGAAACUACUUGGCUAGAGUACUGGAGAGGGUAACGGAAUUCACGGUGUAGCAGUGAAAUGCGUAGAUAUCGUGAGGAACACCAGAGGCGAAGGCGGUUACCUGGACAGUUACUGACGCUCAGGCACGAAAGCGUUGGGAGCAAAAGGG
rnacentral:rRNA from 1 species